AUCUCAACUUUGUUUUGCCGCAUUAACCGAGGCUAAUUCGUGUGAAAGAUGCACUCGUUGGAGGUUCAAGUGGAUCGCGACCCAGAGACCCACAGAGAGGCAGACCUCAAAGCUAUGCAUUUAUGACACUCAUUUGGUUCUUGGCCGACAUGGCGAUCCACCGUGUGCUGGACUGGACCCGGAUCGGAGAACUAUAACUUUUGCAGAUUCGCACACAUCACGCACAACACACACUCAACACACACACACUGCUUGCGCUCUCUCGACAAAAAAUUAAUCAAAAAAAUGUAUUUUAUGAAAUAUACACGCGCGCGCGUAUUCCAAUUUUUCCGAUUUUGAUUUGUUAGUUUCAGUUUUUUG